UACGUAGGAUCCAAGCGUUGUCCGGAUUUACUGGGUGUAAAGGGUGCGCAGGCGGACUUGUUAGUCAGAGGUGAAAUCUCACGGCUCAACCGUGAAACUGCCUUUGAUACUGCAGGUCUUGAAUUGGGGAGAGAGUUGUGGAAUUCCGAGUGUAGCAGUGAAAUGUGUAGAUAUUCGGAAGAACACCAGUGGCGAAGGCGGCUUCCUGGACCAAUACUGACGAUCAGGUGCGAAAGCGUGGGGAGCAAACAGG
rnacentral:rRNA from 1 species